rnacentral:tRNA from 1 species
GUGCUUUUAGCUCAGUGGUAGAGUAGCAGAUUGCAAUGCGCAAUCAUCUGUGGGUCCCGCGUUCGAACCGCGGAAGGCACU